UCUAAUAUUAAUCCCCAGCCUUCCCUUCAACCCGGUCCGUCCCAAAUACCCCAUGACCCUUUCCCUGACUCGAUAUCCACUCCAGUUUCAGCAAAAACAAUGACACCCAGCAAAUUCAACAACAAACAAAGGCAAAACAGCUGACACAACGACUUCAACGCCGACAACUCAAAAUUUCAACAACAGCUUUCAAUGUCAACAUCAACAGCAAAACCGACAAACCUUAACUCAAAUUUUUGAAAUUCAAAUCUCAACUUGUUUUCUUUUGACCCCUUCGAUUUCACCCCAAAAGAACUCAAAAUUCUUUUAUAAAUAUCCAACUAUGUAGAGUGAAGAAGAGAGGAUUCUCGAGGAAAAAUUGGGGGUUUUGGAGGUGCAUGCUUCUAACCUCACGCAACCGAAAUUGUCGAAGAACACAAUUCAAAAAACUAACUUCGGAUGAAAUUAUUUUGAGUUCUUGCGGAUUGAAGUUAAAUUUAGUAUUGGAAGUCAGGUCAACUCGUUGUUCCGGUUCGCUGUCCGAAAAAGACGUUGCAGGCGUGGCAGGUGUGACAGCUGACGUGGAGAGAGUGUGUCACACUCACCAAAAAAGAGUUUAAAAUGUUGCUUUUUAGUUGGUUCAAGGGUUCAGAUGACAAACAUGUAAGUAGAAGUGUCCAACUUACAAAACCGACAUAGUACAGGGGUCCAGAAGGUCAUUUUGGCUAUUUGUUUCCAUCAUUUGUAACUUAGAUUUCUGUGAUGAUUAGCAGUAAAAAGCAACAAUAUUUAAAAAAAAAGAAAGCAAAUGAUGAAAAGGAGACUUUAGGGGUUCUUUUCCUUUGAUGUUGGAUAAUUUUGUUAAUAGAGGUAUAAAUAAAUAAGAAAAAAUUUUGU